GUGCCAGCAGCCGCGGUAAUACGGAGGGGGCUAGCGUUGUUCGGAAUUACUGGGUGUAAAGGGUGUGUAGGCGGGGCUGUAAGUCAGAGGUGAAAUCCCACGGCUCAACCGUGGAACUGCCUUUGAUACUGCAGCUCUUGAGUCCCGGAGAGGUGGCUGGAAUUCGUGGUGUAGCGGUGAAAUGCGUAGAUAUCACGAGGAACACCAGAGGUGUAGACGGGUCACUGGACGGGUACUGACGCUGAGGCACGAAAGCGUGGGGAGCAAACAGGAUUAGAUACCCUGGUAGUCCACGCCGUAAACGAUGGAUGCUCGGUGUUGCCCCGCCUUUAGGGGCAGUGCCUAAGCUAACGCGUUAAGCAUCCCACCUGGGGAGUACGCUCGCAAGAGUGAAACUUAAAGGAAUUGACGGGG
rnacentral:rRNA from 1 species